rnacentral:rRNA from 1 species
UUUAGAGUUUGAUCCUGGCUCAGAUUGAACGCUGGCGGCAGGCCUAACACAUGCAAGUCGGACGGUAGCACAGAGAGCUUGCUCUUGGGUGACGAGUGGCGGACGGGUGAGUAAUGUCUGGGGAUCUGCCCGAUAGAGGGGGAUAACCACUGGAAACGGUGGCUAAUACCGCAUAACGUCGCAAGACCAAAGAGGGGGACCUUCGGGCCUCUCACUAUCGGAUGAACCCAGAUGGGAUUAGCUAGUAGGCGGGGUAAUGGCCCACCUAGGCGACGAUCCCUAGCUGGUCUGAGAGGAUGACCAGCCACACUGGAACUGAGACACGGUCCAGACUCCUACGGGAGGCAGCAGUGGGGAAUAUUGCACAAUGGGCGCAAGCCUGAUGCAGCCAUGCCGCGUGUAUGAAGAAGGCCUUCGGGUUGUAAAGUACUUUCAGCGGGGAGGAAGGCGACGGGGUUAAUAACCCUUCGAUGACUACCC